CUUAGGAGCACCGCAGAAGUCGGAUGAGAUACAAGCUAGGUCAGCUUGGCUGGAAUAGCACCAUGGAAGCAUCUCUCCCAGUGGUGAAAUCCUCCGCGGUUUGCCACCGGUUCACUUCCUGCACAUGCGCGGUGUGUGUCAAACGCGCACUGCACGUGUGCAUGGGCCAAACGCAUGCUGCACACACAUGCAUACUGCACACCAAACACACGCUGUGCACGGAAAAAGGAGGCUUAAGAAGGACGGUGGUGGGUGCUAACUUCCUACAAGAGUUAAGAAACUCAUAUAAGGCUAUCAUUAUGCGAUGAGGAAGCACAAUCCUUGCCGAAGGAUGAGGACAGCCAAGGACUAAAUGGAGCAACCCACACAGUGGAAAGACCAGUUGGGAACGGACCCAAACCACCAAGCGAGAGAAAAGAACAGGCAAAACGUUAUGAUUAAUAUGCCAGCUGGUUUUAAGUAAAUUACAGCCAAUAUUUUGCCUCAUCUUCCUCGUGUGUGUGGUUUUUUUUGUUUUUGUUUUUUAAAAAGGAGGGAGCAUUUAAUUGUGCCAAGAUGUGUGCCACCACAUAAACUGGGCAUGCUGAGCUCCAGAAGGCGCAGACGCCUCUGUGCAACCAGCUGCAUCGAAAACGCAACAUGCAACUUCGCAGCGGCAAACUGGGGUUCAAUAAAACAAGGCGACAGGGAAGCCAGCAGGGUUGGGAAGAGGUAAAAUUUAACGGAGAAAAAUAGAGAUUGAACAGAGAAUCUCUGCGUGGAUUCCAAAAGAAGGAUUUUUUCCCCCCUAUGUGAAUUCAUUGUUCGUUUGUUCUCCAGAUCUCCAUGCCAGAAAUCGUGGGGAAAAGAUCAUCUGAUGAACAGGCCUAUCUUGUGUCAGUGGGUCUUAUCUGGAUUGCCAGAUAAUAUUUCUUCUUCAUAGAAUAGAAUGGAAUGGAAUGGAAUGGAAUGGAAUGGAAUGGAAUGGAAUAGAAUUUUUUAUUGGCCAAGUAUGAUUAGGCACACAAGGAACUUGUCUUGGUGCAUAUGCUCUUAGUGUACAUAAAAGAAAAGAUACCUUCAUCAAGGUACAACACUUACAACACUUAAUGAUAGUCAUAGGGUACAAAUAAGCAAUCAGAAAACAAUAUCAAUGUCAAUAUAAAUUAUAAGGAUACAAGCAACAAAGUUACAGUCAUACAGUCAUAAGUGAAAGGAGACGGGUGAUGGGAAGAUUAAUAGUAGUGCAGAUUUAGUAAAUCGUUUGACAGUGUUGAGGGAAUUAUUUGUUUAGAAGAGUGAUGGCAUUCGGGAAGAAACUGUUCUUGUGUCCAGUUGCUCUGGUGUGCAGUUCUCUAUAAUGUCGUUUUGAAGGUAGGAGUUGAAAAAACUUAUGUCCAGGAUGUGAGGGGGCUGUAAAUAUUUUCACAGCCCUCUUUUUGACUCCUGCUGUAUACAGGUCCUCAAUGGAAGGCAGGUUGGAAGCCAUUGUUUUUUCUGGAGUUUUAAUUAUCCUCUGAAGUCUGUGUCUGUCUUGUUGGGUUGCAGAAUCAAACCAGACAGGUAUAGAGGUGCAGAUGACAGAUUCAAUAAUUUCUCUGUAGAGCUGUAUCAACAGCUCCUUGGGCAGUUUGAGCUUUCUGAGUUGGUGCAAAAAGAACAUUCUUUGUUGUGCCUUUUUGAUGGCUUUCUGAUGUUAGGUGUCCAUUUUAGAUCUUGCAAUAUGGUAGAACCUAAAAAUUUGAAGGUCUCUACUGUUGAUAUUGUCUUGUCUAAUAUUGUAAGAGGUGGAAGUACGGAAGGUUUUCUCCUAAAGUCUACCACCAUUUCUAUGGUUUUGAGUGUGUUCAGUUCCAGAUUGUUCCGGUCACACCAUGAGGUGGUUCAACCUCCUGUCUGUAUUCUUCCUACUUUAUUUGUUAGUU